rnacentral:RNase_P_RNA from 1 species
GGAGUUGGCCAGGCAACCGCUGUGUGGGAAACCACAUGGAGGAAAGUCCGGGCUCCAUAGGGCAGGGUGCCAGGUAACGCCUGGGCGCUAUAAGUCGGAGACGCAAGUCUUCGGCCCAAGGCGACGGAAAGUGCAACAGAAAAUACACCGCCGAUGGCUCAGCAAUGAGAUCAGGUAAGGUUGAAAUGGCGAGGUAAGAGCUCACCGCGGACGUGGCAACACGGACGGCACGGCAAACCCCACCCGGAGCAAGGCCAAAUAGGCAGGCGCGUCUUAGGACAUCGGUGGCCCGCCGAGCCUGCGGGUAGGCUGCUAGAGGCGACGGGUGAUCGUCGUCCCAGAUGAAUGGUUGCCCACGACAAAACCCGGCUUAUCGGCCAACUCCACCU